GGGGGCUUCGGCGAUAUGGAACGAGGUGAGGAAAAGAGGAACAGAAAGAAAUUGUCUUUAGAUACGCUGAUGUUUUCACAGGCUGGUGUUUUCUGUUCCCCCUUGAAGCUUGGGACCGCAGGUGGAAAAAUGUGCCGUUCCACCCUUGAGCAAGGAAAUUAACCCCCAACACAACUGCUCCCCGUGCGCUGAUGACGUGGACGUUGAUUAAGGCAGCACCCCGCACCUCUCUGAUUCAGAGGGGUUGGGUUAAAUGCAGAAGACACAGCUGAAUGCAUUCAGUUGUGCAACUGACUAGAACAAACAUGACGACAACGUCACUGGAUACGAAAACAACUAAUAAACAUCUAUGGCGAUAAUGUUUGUUGAUUUAGUUUAUAUUAGACAUAUAUGACAGAAAUACAUAUUUAUAACCUGGUCCCAGAUCUGUUUGUGUUGUCUUGCCAAUGGCCAGACAUAGAGUUGGAAAGACGGCACAAGUAGACCUUGGACUCGGAUAGCACAUACUCUUCAAUCAGUAUUUAUUAAAUAAUACAUUGUAGAUUGUAGCUACCAUGGCAAUUUAUUCUGUAAUAUUUAUUCUGUAAUAGGUAGCAAAUUAAGUUGAUCCCAAUUCUAUAAUGUAUGCUACCAGCUCUACUGUAUGCCAAUCUAUGCUAGCUACUGCUUUGCUACUAUGCUAUCUAUCUCUAAGCUAAGCUACCCUAUGCUAGCUGGCUCUAUGCCACAGGCUGAUUAUCAAGAGGGCUUUGGGGGGGGGGGGCUAACAGUUGUGACCCAGUCUGCAUGACUGCAGCUGUUGCCGCUAAAGCCCCCCUUUGUCUCCCAUAGUGUGUGUGUGUGAGUGACAGAGUCCCGUCAGGCAUACAUGCUAAUCAAGGUGCUAAAUUUAGACUUUGCACCAUCCGGCCAGAACAGGACAUUUGUUGUGUUUCAAAUGUACAGACAUUUACCCCACAGGGCCAGUUAGUGUGAUUGGUAUGUAAGUUAUGUAGCUGUCUGAAGCCAUAGUUACUCAUCUGUAGGAUCUAUAUAGUCCUCUUUCACUGCACAGAGAACAAGAAGGACAUCCCAGACAGAUAGAGGGGGGAAAUCCUUUUGAGAGGCACUUGAUUUGUUACCAUUCAGAAAACGUGUUUGGUUAUAUUUGGGUAUAUUUUUAAAACUAGCUUCACUUUACCUCUGACCCCCACCAACCCCCCCCCCCUCCACACUCGUACAAAACUCUAUUCCAUCCAUGAUUGGCAGGUCCAUACCUCUGUUUGGCGUACGCUCCCACGAUAGGUGACAGCAGCUGCCCAUCCUUGGCAGACACUUGCAUGUAGUACUGCGGCUCUCCAUUGGCCGGACUGCUCUGCUCUUCCAUUGCUUUUCCUGGGAGGUCAGGCUCUGUUGGGUAGUCCAGGCUACCCAUUGGAUCAAAGUCCCUGUCGCUCAAGCAACUCCCUGUGUGGGCAGAGUCAGAACGCUCUGGCAGCACCUCCGGCAACAGAGUGCAGCGACUGGUCGUCAUGGCAGCAGACGGUUAUCUUUCAUUGGCGUCUGGCUUGGUUACUGAGCAUCAUCUGUC